CAACACUGGUCCUCAUAUGAUCAUUGAAGUUAAGCAACAUCGAGCCUUGUCAGUACAUAGAUGGGUGACCGCUUGGGAAUACUAGGUUCUGUAAG